CUUGGUCAUUUAGAGGNAGUAAAAGUCGUAACAAGGUUUCCGUAGGUGAACCUGCGGAAGAAUCAUUAUCGAAUCGUAGGCGAGGGUUGUCGCUGGCCUCUCGGGGCAUGUGCACGCCCGAGCCCUUGAAUCCCAAACACCACAUGUGAACCCACCGUAGGCCUUCGGGCCUAUGUCUUAUCAUAUAAUCUGAAUGUCUAAUAGAAUGUAAACCCAUUUCGUUGCCUUGAAAACGUAACGAAAGAAAACUAUACAACUUUCAACAACGGAUCUCUUGGCUCUCGCAUCGAUGAAGAACGCAGCGAAAUGCGAUAAGUAAUGUGAAUUGCAGAUUUUCAGUGAAUCAUCGAAUCUUUGAACGCACCUUGCGCCCCUUGGUAUUCCGAGGGGCAUGCCUGUUUGAGUGUCAUUAAAUCCUCAACCCCUCCGAUUCGUUUCGGUGGGGAUUGGACUUGGAGCGUGCUGGCGAAGGUCGGCUCCUCUUUAAAUGCAUCAGCGGAGAAAAUGCCUUUUGCGCCUCUGGCCGUUCAGCGUGAUAAUGAUGUUGCGCUGCGGUCGAGCUUAAGGUCCGCUUCCAAAGGUCCUCUCGGACGAUAUAUACAUAUGACUUUUGACCUCAAAUCAGGUAGGACUACCCGCUGAACUUAAGCAUAUCAAUAAGCGGANGA
rnacentral:rRNA from 1 species